CGCGCAGGUCUCGUCUGGAUUGUGGACUGUGAACAGCUCAGGCAUCAGAGCGGAUUUCUUCACCAAUUCGGAUUCCGGCGUCGACCUCUGCAAGUGUAAACGCAGCAACCGUUGAUUCUCUGUUAAAGGUAUUGCGCAGAUAACAGUUCAACACUACGAAUGUAAAAGUCGUAAAGAAGCGUGGUACAGAGGCAAUGAAUGGUAAAAGAUGAUCGUAUCUGGAAGUACUGUACUUGGACUGCGGUUGCGAGCUUUAUGGCGCCAUUAAUUGUUGCUGAAGAAGGUGAGAAAGGGAGUAAAAAAAUUGAUGUACUCUCGGCGCACAAAAGCAAAGGUUAUAAAGGAUCUGGGAACCCACGGCGUCUGUGUCUUCACCCUUUUUUUUUUUUUUUUGAAUACGGUAGAUUUUUGCUACUGCAAGAUUUGUAAGCUCGUACUACAGCUGUGGCAUAUAUAGCACCUUGAGAUGGUAAUCGCUAUACAACUACAACCUGUGAAAUAAAGUUUGUAUGUAGUUACGAGUGGUCGAUUGCCUAAUGCAUUGCACGGAUUACAGUUCGACAUUUACUUAUUUAAUUCAAGCUGCAGAUUAACAGAAUGGCACACUACAGUAUGUGGAAACACUUGGACUUGCCUACAACUUUGAAGUGGUGUCUGUUUUAUUAAGAUGCUAUGUGAAAUAAAGCUUGGCUAUAUUUGAAGCAAACGGAUGGGGAAUUAAAUCAAAGCUCGGACCUGCUUGAUCUUAAGCUGUGAACAUUUCUGAAAGCAGUUUGAUUGUGGUGGCUCGAGAUGGUGCUC